rnacentral:rRNA from 1 species
UACGUAGGGGGCAAGCGUUAUCCGGAUUUAUUGGGCGUAAAGGGAACGCAGGCGGUCUUUUAAGUCUGAUGUGAAAGCCUUCGGCUUAACCGGAGUGGUGCAUUGGAAACUGGGAGACUUGAGUGCAGAAGAGGAGAGUGGAACUCCAUGUGUAGCGGUGAAAUGCGUAGAUAUAUGGAAGAACACCAGUGGCGAAAGCGGCUCUCUGGUCUGUAACUGACGCUGAGGUUCGAAAGCGUGGGUAGCAAACAGG